AAAGAAAACAUAUAUGUAUAUUUUCAUGCACUUUGGUUUGCAUCACAGCUGAGGAGAGAACUUCCUGGAUCAAUUAUGUGAGCUCCUCACCAUUUACAACCAGCUAUUCAAAUGACACAUCCAUAGGAGCUAUUUUACCAUGACCAAUAGUUCUUUAACUCAAGAAAAAAAAAAAGAAGAGAAAAAUUAGCUGAAUUUUUUGAUCAUCAGGGUCACAUCUUGCUCACUGACUGAUCAAAAUCAAAAAGGGGUGGGACGUAUGACACCAACUUUGUCUGGGAAGACAAGGCUGGUGGGGAAGAGAACCCGAUCUGACUCGUCUUUUCAAGGGUUAUGUUCCCUAGAGCUAGUGUUUGAGUAAGGACAGGAUUGCUUUACAUUAUUUUCAUAUUUCAGACCACCUGGUAUCCCAACGUCCCCUCUUGCCCGGCCUGCCAUGCACAGUACCCCUAUGAGCACUCCUGGUGGGCCCACAGAGUGGUGGCCCCAUGUUAUCUCUCCAGGCUGGGUGUGAGCAGGCCACAUGGAGAUAAGGCCAGACACCAGAUGAGCUCCAUCCAGCUCCCCCAGGUCUGGCUCCAGGGGGGUGCCCCGGUAUCCCUCUUCUGGGAGAGCUGAUGGCAAACUUACAGUGCCGGUCUAGUCCCUUUCCUGGUGACUGAUUGACCUUGGGAAACCCUAACAGGGGCUAGUGCCCCCGAUAAUCUUGCUACCAGAUUUUCAGGGACACACAAACGCCCCCAUCAUGAUAUAGUGACAACUCUAAUGAUACUAACUCGGGUCAAUCUUUGUUCCAACCCUCACCUAUGGUCAUGAACUCUUGGUGAUGACCAAAAGAAUGAGAUCGCAGAUUCAAAUGGUCUAAAUGAGAUUUCUCAGGGGGGUGUCUGGGCUCAGCUUUAGAGAUAGGGUGAAAAGCUCAGACAUCCAGAGGACUUGAAGUAGAGCCGCUGUUCCUUCACAUUGAAAGGAGUCAGUUGUGAUGGUUUGGUCCUCAGAUCAGGAUGUCUCCUGGUUACCUCCCUGUCCUAUUCUUCCAGGCGUGUCCAACUGGAAGAAGAUCCUGGGGUAGACCCAGGACUCAGUGGAAGGAUUAUAUCUGAUCUGGCCUGGGAACACCUGGGAUUCCCCCAGGAAGAGCUGGAAAAUGUUGUUAGGGAGAGGAAUGUCUGGUUGGACUUGCUUAGCCUGCUACCACUGUGACCCAGCUGGAAGACAAGUUUCUUAACCUAACAAUAAACUUUGGUGUGAGAAGCUUUGAAACUGAGGUAGUAGGGGAUCUCAAAACAAAAAAAAGUGGAUGUGGACAAAAGCUCUGAUAACAUCAAAAUUGAAAAAAAAAAAAAAGACAGUUGGCAUGUACCCUUACGAGAGGGUGAGAUUUUUUUCUGUGAAUGAAAAUGAGCGAGCAAGUGUCCCAAACACAACAGACAUGUAAGAAAGAAUUUGAGGCAGAUUGCAGAUGGUAAAUGAGAGUGUAGUGUUUUAAAUUGUAUUCUGUGUAUUAUUUUGGUUACUUCCGGUUUCCGGAGUAUCGUGCUGGCUGCUAACUUUACUCUGCUCUCCCUGAGGCAUCCACCCCUCCCCCCUGGUGCUGUGGAGAGUCACACCUGCAGCAAAUCACUCAUUUGACGGACACUACUUAAGAUCGGCUGCAGCUCUCUACAGCGCCUGAGUCUUGCAGAACUUACCUCACGUGCCUCCAGCCCAGAUCACCGCAGCCAGCACCAGCGCACUCUCUCACUCACCAGGACUCUUGGAAUCCCCCCUCCCUUAUUCACUUACCUGCACAAUAAAACUGUUCAAACCUG